rnacentral:ncRNA from 1 species
ACAGCGUAAGCCGAAAAGCUGGGAGAGAGUAGGCG